rnacentral:rRNA from 1 species
UACGGAGGAUGCGAGCGUUAUCCGGAUUUAUUGGGUUUAAAGGGUGCGUAGGCGGGAUGCCAAGUCAGCGGUAAAAAUGCGGUGCUCAACGCCGUCGAGCCGUUGAAACUGGCGUUCUUGAGUGGGCGAGAAGUAUGCGGAAUGCGUGGUGUAGCGGUGAAAUGCAUAGAUAUCACGCAGAACUCCGAUUGCGAAGGCAACAUACCGGCGCCCUACUGACGCUGAGGCACGAAAGCGUGGGUAUCGAACAGG